AUUCACCGUGUUUUCCUUCAGAUCGUAUAAAUCUUCGCCUUUUACAAAGAUUUCCGUGGAGAGGAACAACAGAGAGUUAACUCAAUUUUUGAUGCCCUGCUUAGUGGGGGCU
rnacentral:snRNA from 11 species